ACCUGGGUGGCUCAGUCGGUUGAGCGUCCGACUUUGGCUCAGGUCAUGAUCUCACGGUUUGUGGGUUCGAGCCCCACGUCAGGCU
rnacentral:tRNA from 1 species